rnacentral:snoRNA from 1 species
CUUAAGGAAAGAACCCUAGUAAACUACAUCGUUGGAAAUGCCUCAUAGAUUAACUGUGGUUUCCUUUACUCAUAGAACUACCUGUUACAUCUGUGGGAAAGAACUACAAAACAGAG